rnacentral:misc_RNA from 1 species
UGGUCACAUGCACACACCUUAUCCUAUCAGGAACAGUGUUACAGCACACGUCCUCAGCAGGGAACUGACGUAAAUAAGUUUUUUUACAUGUGUGUGAAACCGGAGCCUGACCUACUUUUUUAUGUCUAUCAAGAUAUUUCCUGAAUGCCAUAUCUGUCCCGUGGUUUGAUGGCCCAGGUGAUGCGAGCAAUUCGAGUGAGUGAGUUUGGUGGACCUGAGGUGUUGGUGCUGGCUAAAGAUGUCCCCAUUCCAAAACCUGGGAAAUGUCAGGUUUUGAUUAAGGUAGCAGCUGCGGGGAUAAAUCCAGUCGACACCUAUAUCCGAACAGGAAAUCAACCUGUAAAGGCAGCAUUGCCCUAUACUCCUGGCUUGGACGUGUCAGGAAUAGUGGAGGAAUUAGGAGAAGAGGUCACUAAGUUUAAAAAAGGAGACCAUGUAUAUACAGUUUGCACAACCUCUGGUGGGUAUGCUGAGUAUGCUGUGGCUGAUGAAAAAACAACAUUUACACUCCAUGAUAAGUUGGAAUUCACUCAAGGAGCUUGUGUUGGAGUCCCUUACUUCACUGCCUAUAGGGCUCUUGUUAUUGGGGGUGGUGCCAGUCCAGGAAAAACAGUUCUUGUGCAUGGUGCAAGUGGUGGCGUUGGUUUGGCAGCUUGUCAGAUAGCUAAGAACCUGGGUCUGCAGGUUAUAGGUACUGCCAGCACAGCAGAGGGCCUGCAUCUUGUCAAGGAGAAUGGGGCCCACCAUGUUUUCAAUCACAAGGAAGAGGGGCAUCAGGGGAAAAUAAAGGAGGCCACAGAGGGUAAGGGAGUUGAUAUUAUAUUGGAGAUGAUGGCCAAUGUAAACCUGCCUGCUGAUGUAAUGCUUUGCAAGAAACAUUGUCGUAUUAUGGUUAUAGGUAAUCGUGGGGACUGUGAGUUCAACUUCAGCAAACUGAUGACAAAUGAAACUUCUGUUAUUGGAGUCAAGCUUAUGAUGACUGAAGGGCAUGAAUGGGAAAUGAUGGGAAGCUUCAUGUAUGCUGGUAUGGAACAGGGCUGGUUGAAACCAGUUGUACACAGGAAAUAUGACCUGAAGGAUGCACCACAGGCACAUGCAGAUAUCAUCAGCAAUCCAGGAUGCAAGGGAAACCUUGUUCUGCAGAUAUAGUACUGGUGUCAUUCAAAAUAUGGUACGGAUUUUUUUACUUCAUGCCUAAAAGAAUGAGGUAAAAUGGGGUCUUUAGAUGUAGCAUACAUUCAGUGCUACAAGAUGCAGUGCUAUCAGUGUCAAGAUACAGGUGGCCAUGUUCAGUUAUGGAGCCCUGUUCAACAGUCUUGUGUUGCUGUCAUUUCUGCUUGUCACCGGCAUUUACAGCUUUCUGUCCUUCUUGAUGACAGUCUGUCCCACAUGUUUCCAUCCUACAUUAGACACUGACUUCUCUUGGACAUACUUGACAGUUGUAUGAUCACCACGUAUGGCUGGCAGAUGGAUUUAUCGACUUCUGCUUGACACUAGAUGGUGCCUUAAUUUUACUCAUUGUCAAGAAUUUUAAAUAAAUCCUUCACAAAGCCAACAGGAUGGUAAUGCAUGCAAGAGGGAUAAAUUAUCUCCAAAUCUGCAGCAAGUUUCAACAAGCAGGCCAAGGAAUUGCUGAUGUGUUUUUGCAUUCAAAUGCAUGUCCAAAUUGAAACUAACUGCUGAAAAAAAGACAGUUUAAGAUCUUUGUUCUUUUCAAUGCUGAUGGGUGCAGACCCGUGGAGUGGGGAGGGGGAUGUCAUUCACCCCAUUUCCAUAGAUUUUUAGAUCGAUCUAUCCCUGUGGGGAGUCUCACUAGAUUACUGUCAGCUUGG